rnacentral:lncRNA from 10 species
UUAUUUUAUUUUAUUUAUUUCUUUUACAACGUUUAGGUGGAAAAGAAGGCAUUUGAAAACUUGUUUUUUUUGAAAAAAGAUUUAUGGCUGAGGCUUCUAUGACAACAGACAGAUUAACUAGAGGAAAGCACACACCAAACAGGAGCCUUCAGAAAUGAAGACUCAAAGACAGAGGAUUCAGUUCACAGCUAUUUAUUUAUCAUUUAAAUGCAUUCAACUGAAAGAGAACAUUUUCCUGCUGAAUAUAGGAACCGUCAAAGAUAAAUAUGGGCUGAUGUUUUUCGUGCCUGCUAACAUUGGGUCUAGAUUUAUCUACCUUGAAAGACAUGCCAUUUGUCAAAGGCUUGUUUAGCAUGAAAAAUCCUCUAUGGCCAGUAUUAGUUAUGUUCAGUCAUUCUUGCUUCAUGUGUGCUGGACACUGGGGAAAGCAAGGGAGAGAAUCUUCAUAAACCAAAGCACACUAGCCUUUUAUUUGAAUGACAGCUAUAAUAACUACUCACACAAAUAUAAUUUUUAAAGACAUUUAUAUAUUAAUUUGGAUUGAAUGUCUUCGCUGUGCUUGAGACAUCCUAAGUGUGUAUAUAGGGGGUAUAUGUAUGUGUGUGUGCACAUGUGUGUACGUGUUCCGAUGGAGAAAAAGCACUGGAAUAUCUCUCUCAUUAUUUAAAUUGCUUGUGAACUUUCAUUCCUUUCACUAAACUGUUCCAAUUUAUGAGACCAUUUCCCACUGCCCUGACAAAUCUGAGUUUGCAUUGUUAGCCUUUUCCUUGAUAUCCACUGAAUUUUUGUUCUUGCUUUGUUUCUCAAACAUGCACAAAAAUGCAAUUAUUAUUUAUUCAUUUUAUUACUGCAUACUUGUGUAUUUGCUUAUUUAUUAAAUUGUUUAUUUAUUUAAGGCACGCACUUGAUAAAAAGCAUUUAAACUGGUAACAAAGGAUGCACUAGAGUUUGCCUCCCAUCUCAAACCUAGUAUCAUUGAUGCUUCAGAGAAGAUAUUCUUGCAUAUAUUGAUGUACAUAUAUCUGUAUUUGUAUGUGCAUAUUUUCCAGAUAAAUUUCAAUAACUUGAAUUGUUAGAUUAAAAUGUUCGAAUGUUUUAGAUAUUGUCAAAUUACUCUCUAAAGACUUUGUAUUGUAUUUUAUUACCAUCUAGAGGAU